rnacentral:rRNA from 1 species
CCACAUCCGCAUCCUUUGCUGAGGAUACGGUUAACGGAGCGAAAGCGACGUUCAACCGCAAAACAAGCAGAGGGGGCUUAGUGGUGGGGUGACUGCGUACCUUUUGUAUAAUGGGUCAGCGACUUAUAUUCUGUAGCAAGGUUAACCGAAUAGGGGAGCCGGAGGGAAACCGAGUCUUAAUUGGGCGUUAAGUUGCAGGGUAUAGACCCGAAACCCGGUGAUCUAGCCAUGGGCAGGUUGAAGGUUGGGUAACACUAACUGGAGGACCGAACCGACUAAUGUUGAAAAAUUAGCGGAUGACCUGUGGCUGGGGGUGAAAGGCCAAUCAAACCGGGAGAUAGCUGGUUCUCCCCGAAAGCUAUUUAGGUAGCGCCUCGUGAAUUCAUCUCCGGGGGUAGAGCACUGUUUCGGCUAGGGGGCCAUCCCGGCUUACCAACCCGAUGCAAACUGCGAAUACCGGAGAAUGUUAUCACGGGAGACACACGGCGGGUGCUAACGUCCGUCGUGAAGAGGGAAACAACCCAGACCGCCAGCUAAGGUCCCAAAGUCAUGGUUAAGUGGGAAACGAUGUGGGAAGGCCCAGACAGCCAGGAUGUUGGCUUAGAAGCAGCCAUCAUUUAAAGAAAGCGUAAUAGCUCACUGGUCGAGUCGGCCUGCGCGGAAGAUGUAACGGGGCUAAACCAU